AUUCGGCAGAUUCUUCGAAUGUUGGUGCAUUCAUUGGAGUUGGAGUCGGAUCUGUAGCAGUUACUCUUGUUGCUGUUGGAUUAGUCAUUAUAAUAAGACGAUGCCUAAGACAUGGGCACUCAAGAGAACACACACCAGUUAAAGACCUUGAUAGCCUAGUGAUAGAGCGUCCGCUUCAAGUGCAAGAGGUCAUGGGUUCGAUCACUGGCAGCGACAUAUCAAAGACGUGAACAAUGUUACCAGUAGGUCCCUUGCUUGGCGCUCAGCAUUUAGAGGGAAACUGACCUUUACUCUCAUACCAUCGUGGCGAUGGAUUUCAUCAGGACACGCACAUGAGUUAACAACAGGUGCUCCAUAUGAUGAUGUUAGAACAAUUAAUGCCUCACCGAAUACACCGUCAGACACCGAUGUUGGCUACGUCAAUACAAGGUUUCAAGUAUUUGAAGAGUUAGAAGAGAGU